AUUGAACGCUGGCGGCAUGCCUAACACAUGCAAGUCGAACGGCAGCACAGUGUGUAGCAAUACACAUGGGUGGCGAGUGGCGGACGGGUGAGUAAUGCUUAGGAAUCUGCCCAAUGGUGGGGGAUAACUAGCCGAAAGGUUAGCUAAUACCGCAUACGCCUUUACGGGGAAAGCGGGGGAUCGAAAGACCUCGCGCCGAUGGAUGAGCCUAAGUCCGAUUAGCAGUUGGUAGGGUAAUGGCCUACCAAGGCGACGAUCGGUAGCUGGUCUGAGAGGACGGCCAGCCACACUGGAACUGAGACACGGGUCCAGACUCCUACGGGAGGCAGCAGUGGGGAAUAUUGGACAAUGGGGGCAACCCUGAUCCAGCAAUGCCGCGUGUGUGAAGAAGGCCU
rnacentral:rRNA from 1 species